GCCGAGACGGAGCGCGGCAUCGAGGAGGUGCAGACCAGGCCGAGUUACCCCGAGAUCAAAGUGCAGCAGGUGGAGAGCAUCGGCGUGCUGGAGGAGACGCGGGAGAGCGAGGGCGAGUCCAGCGUGGACCCCACCAUGCCCCAGAUCCUGUGCGUCACCGGCGGCACCAUGGAGGAGGAGGAGACCACGGAGGGAGGGGAGACGUCCCAGGAGGAGGCGGCGGGAUGGGAGCAAGGAGAGGACGCCAAAGUGGAGAUAGACGACUCGUCGGACGAGCAGGCGCCUAUUGAGAACCCACAGGUGGAGCAAGUGUGUGAGACAUCGCAGGACGCCGGCGGCAGUGAGAGCCUUGCCAGCGCUCAUCAGGAGGAGGAAGAUGAGCUGGAGGUUUCUCAGGUGGGACAGUCCGAUGAUGUUGGUGAGAGCGGGACGGGCCCAGCCACAACGGAACAGGAGGAGAAGGUCAUCGAGGAGGCGGAGGUAGAGACGGAGGGAAUAGCGGCACAAAGAGACAAUGAGGAAGAGGAGGGUAAAGGAGUGAAGAGGAAGAGGGAAGAGGACGCGUCACAGAGCACAGAGAAGAAAAAGUGUAAUGAAGACGCCAUGGCCUCCAUGUUAGCCGACUUUGUGGCCUGUCCCCCUGAUGAAGAAGAGGGCCCCUCUGGAUCAGCCCAGCCCAGUCAGGACUGAUCCCAUUCCAGUUCUUAGCACUCACUCUUCAUCUGUCACACUUUUUACAGGUUUGGUUACCUCAUCAUCGUCAUCACACCCCUUGCCCUUUACAUGUUUUUAUUCAUUUAAUGUACAGAACCAUUCUCAGAAAGAGCUGCUGGAAGCUGCAUUUUAAAACUGUUGCCAAUAACUACACUAUUACAUCACGUUGAAAGAGGAAGCUCAAAUUACAUCACAGACCACUUAAAGAGCUGUCCAUAUGUGAUUGUUCUGUGCAGCCGCAUUGUGCUACAGACCCAAGUCCGGUUUCUCUUGAUUUCUAUGUAUCUGUUUUUGCUCACUGUCAUAUGAUAAAUAACUACUUGUAAAAUGAUUGCAUUGUUUCUUCUUUAGUUUGUGUCUCACACACUUCAACUUGAGCAUUUCACAGCCUGUUUAGAACACCUGAGAGACCUCCACUCAGGCAUUAAAUCGAUCUCACGAUGUGUAGGUGGAAUUUAACAUUAAUCUGCAUCCAGUCCAUGAAGAAUUGGUAAUGUGAGCAGAGCCUUGAUACCACGAGAGCAGGGGGUAGGGGUCUGAUACGCCAAUGAAAAUUAAAUAUGGGACCGAGUGUAGUUGGAGCAUGUUUCUGAGUAUUAGAUGCAAGGAUGUCAG
rnacentral:lncRNA from 1 species